AGGGCAAUUCCUGAUAGGUGCUGAGCACCAUCUAGCUGCAAAGUCAGCACCUUCGGAACUGUCCUCA
rnacentral:pre_miRNA from 1 species